rnacentral:rRNA from 1 species
UACGGAGGGUGCAAGCGUUAUCCGGAUUCACUGGGUUUAAAGGGUGCGUAGGUGGGCAAGUAAGUCAGUGGUGAAAUCUCCGGGCUUAACCCGGAAACUGCCAUUGAUACUAUUUGUCUUGAAUACUGUGGAGGUCAGCGGAAUAUGUCAUGUAGCGGUGAAAUGCUUAGAUAUGACAUAGAACACCGAUAGCGAAGGCAGCUUGCUACACAAUUAUUGACACUGAGGCUCGAAAGCGUGGGGAUCAAACAGG